UCCGGAUGAGUUGCGAACGGGUGAGUAACGCGUAGGUAACCUGCCUGGUAGCGGGGGAUAACUAUUGGAAACGAUAGCUAAUACCGCAUAAGAGUAGAUGUUGCAUGACAUUUGCUUAAAAGGUGCAAUUGCAUCACUACCAGAUGGACCUGCGUUGUAUUAGCUAGUUGGUGGGGUAACGGCUCACCAAGGCGACGAUACAUAGCCGACCUGAGAGGGUGAUCGGCCACACUGGGACUGAGACACGGCCCAGACUCCUACGGGAGGCAGCAGUAGGGAAUCUUCGGCAAUGGACGGAAGUCUGACCGAGCAACGCCGCGUGAGUGAAGAAGGUUUUCGGAUCGUAAAGCUCUGUUGUAAGAGAAGAACGAGUGUGAGAGUGGAAAGUUCACACUGUGACGGUAUCUUACCAGAAAGGGACGGCUAACUACGUGCCAGCAGCCGCGGUAAUACGUAGGUCCCGAGCGUUGUCCGGAUUUAUUGGGCGUAAAGCGAGCGCAGGCGGUUAGAUAAGUCUGAAGUUAAAGGCUGUGGCUUAACCAUAGUACGCUUUGGAACUGUUUAACUUGAGUGCAGAGGGGAGAGUGGAAUUCCAUGUGUAGCGGUGAAAUGCGUAGAUAUAUGGAGGACACCGGUGGCGAAAGCGGCUCUCUGGCUUGUAACUGACGCU
rnacentral:rRNA from 1 species